rnacentral:rRNA from 1 species
UACGAAGGGGGCUAGCGUUGCUCGGAAUCACUGGGCGUAAAGCGCACGUAGGCGGACUCUUAAGUCGGUGGUGAAAUCCUGGAGCUCAACUCCAGAACUGCCUUCGAUACUGGGAGUCUUGAGUUCGGGAGAGGUGAGUGGAACUGCGAGUGUAGAGGUGAAAUUCGUAGAUAUUCGCAAGAACACCAGUGGCGAAGGCGGCUCACUGGCCCGGUACUGACGCUGAGGUGCGAAAGCGUGGGGAGCGAUCCGG